CGAGAAGCGACUGUUUACUAAAAACACAGGUCCGUGCGAAGCCGUAAGGCGAUGUAUACGGACUGACGCCUGCCCGGUGCUGGAACGUUAAGGGGACCGGUUAGCUCCAUUUCGGUGGGGCGAAGCUGAGAACUUAAGCGCCAGUAAACGGCGGUGGUAACUAUAACCAUCCUAAGGUAGCGAAAUUCCUUGUCGGGUAAGUUCCGACCUGCACGAAUGGCGUAACGACUUCUCGACUGUCUCAACCAUAGGCCCGGUGAAAUUGCACUACGAGUAAAGAUGCUUCGUUUCGCGCAGCGAGGACG
rnacentral:ncRNA from 1 species